rnacentral:rRNA from 1 species
UACGUAGGGGGCAAGCGUUAUCCGGAAUUACUGGGUGUAAAGGGUGAGUAGGCGGUAUGGUAAGUAAGGUGUGAAAUUUACGGGCUCAACCUGUGAACUGCACUUUAAACUACUGAACUAGAGUACAGGAGAGGUAUGCGGAAUUCCUAGUGUAGCGGUGAAAUGCGUAGAUAUUAGGAAGAACACCAGUGGCGAAGGCGGCAUACUGGACUGAAACUGACGCUGAGGCACGAAAGCGUGGGGAGCGAAC